GGAUUCUAGUGGCGGACGGGUGAGUAACGCGUAAGAAUCUAACUUCAGGACGGGGACAACAGUUGGAAACGACUGCUAAUACCCGAUGUGCCGCAAGGUGAAACCUAAUUGGCCUGAAGAAGAGCUUGCGUCUGAUUAGCUAGUUGGUGGGGUAAAGGCCUACCAAGGCGACGAUCAGUAGCUGGUCUGAGAGGAUGAGCAGCCACACUGGGACUGAGACACGGCCCAGACUCCUACGGGAGGCAGCAGUGGGGAAUUUUCCGCAAUGGGCGAAAGCCUGACGGAGCAACGCCGCGUGAGGGAGGAAGGUCUUUGGAUUGUAAACCUCUUUUCUCAAGGAAGAAGUUCUGACGGUACUUGAGGAAUCAG
rnacentral:rRNA from 1 species